rnacentral:rRNA from 1 species
AUUGAACGCUGGCGGCAUGCCUUACACAUGCAAGUCGAACGGCAGCAUGGAGAGCUUGCUCUCUGAUGGCGAGAGGCGAACGGGUGAGUAAUGCAUCGGAACGUACCGUGUAAUGGGGGAUAACGUAGCGAAAGUUACGCUAAUACCGCAUACGACCUGAGGGUGAAAGCAGGGGAUCGCAAGACCUUGCGUUAUACGAGCGGCCGAUGUCAGAUUAGCUAGUUGGUGAGGUAAAGGCUCACCAAGGCGACGAUCUGUAGCGGGUCUGAGAGGAGGAUCCGCCACACCGGGACUGAGAACCGGCCCAGACUCCUACGGGAGGCAGCAGUGGGGAAUUUUGGACAAUGGGGGCAACCCUGAUCCAGCCAUGCCGCGUGAGUGAAGAAGGCCUUCGGGUUGUAAAGCUCUUUCGGCCGGGAAGAAAUCGCACAGGCUAAUACUCUGUGUGGAUGACGGUACCGGCAUAAGAAGCACCGGCUAACUACGUGCCAGCAGCCGCCGUAA